rnacentral:rRNA from 1 species
CACGUAGGGGGCAAGCGUUGUCCGGAUUUAUUGGGCGUAAAGAGCUCGUAGGCGGCUCGACAAGUCGGCCGUGAAAUCUCCAGGCUCAACUUGGAGGGGUCGGGCGAGACUGUCGGGCUCGAGGUGGGCAGAGGGCAGUGGAAUUCCGGGUGUAGUGGUGGAAUGCAUAGAGAUCCGGAGGAACACCAGUGGCGAAGGCGGCUGCCUGGGCCUGGCCUGACGCUGAGGCGCGAAAGCGUGGGGAGCGAUCCGG